GUUUGAUCAUGGCUCAGGAUGAACGCUAGCGGCAGGCCUAAUACAUGCAAGUCGAACGGUAAGUGUUAUAGCAAUAUGGCACCAAGAGUGACGCACGGGUGCGUAACACGUAUGCAACCUACCCUUUACAGGCGGAUAGCUCGGGGAAACUCGAAUUAACCCGCCAUAAUAUAAUUGAAUGGCAUCAUUUGAUUAUUAAAUCUGCGGAGGUAAAGGAUGGGCAUGCGUCUGAUUAGUUAGUUGGUAGUGUAACGGACUACCAAGACGAUGAUCAGUAGGGGAACUGAGAGGUUGAUCCCCCACACUGGCACUGAGAUACGGGCCAGACUCCUACGGGAGGCAGCAGUAGGGAAUAUUGGUCAAUGGGUGAGAGCCUGAACCAGCCAUGCCGCGUGCAGGAAGAAGGCCUUCUGGGUUGUAAACUGCUUUUGCCAGGGGAUAAAAAUACCUUGCGAAGUUAAAUUGAAGGUACCUGGUGAAUAAGCCACCGCUAACUACGUNCCAGCAGCCGCGGUAAUACGU
rnacentral:rRNA from 1 species